rnacentral:ncRNA from 1 species
AGAACUAAUAUUUCGAUAGGUGGAAUGAUAGAGUAACGUCUUGAAACGCCUACCUUAAAUUACGACAGGCGAAUACUUGUGUAAUAAAGUAGAUGUCUGAAGCUCGUUAAAGUCGGCAGAGAGUUACCCAAACAAGUUAUGUUGUGGAAAGUGGCUUGGAGGCAAGCUAUGUAACCUAUAUGCCGGAGGUCUAUAAA